rnacentral:rRNA from 1 species
AUUGAACGCUGGCGGCAUGCCUUACACAUGCAAGUCGAACGGCAGCGCGGACUUCGGUCUGGCGGCGAGUGGCGAACGGGUGAGUAAUGUAUCGGAACGUACCAUUCAGUGGGGGAUAACGCUGCGAAAGUUGCGCUAAUACCGCAUAUUCUGUGCGCAGGAAAGCAGGGGAUCGCAAGACCUUGCGCUGAUUGAGCGGCCGAUAUCAGAUUAGCUAGUUGGUGAGGUAAAGGCUCACCAAGGCGACGAUCUGUAGCGGGUCUGAGAGGAUGAUCCGCCACACUGGAACUGAGACACGGUCCAGACUCCUACGGGAGGCAGCAGUGGGGAAUUUUGGACAAUGGGCGCAAGCCUGAUUCAGCCAUGCCGCGUGAGUGAAGAAGGCCUUCGGGUUGUAAAGCUCUUUCGGCCGGGAAGAAAUCGUAUGGGUUAAUACCCUGUGCGGAUGACGGUACCGGCAUAAGAAGCACCGGCUAACUACGUGCCAGCCGCCGCCGUAAAAC